UACGGAGGGUGCAAGCGUUAUCCGGAUUCACUGGGUUUAAAGGGUGCGUAGGUGGGUUGGUAAGUCAGUGGUGAAAUCCCCGAGCUUAACUUGGGAACUGCCAUUGAUACUAUCAGUCUUGAAUACCGUGGAGGUUAGCGGAAUAUGCCAUGUAGCGGUGAAAUGCUUAGAUAUGACAUAGAACACCAAUUGCGAAGGCAGCUCACUAAGCAAAUAUUGACGCUGAGGCACGAAAGCGUGGGGAUCAAACAGG
rnacentral:rRNA from 1 species